UGGGGAAUAUUGGACAAUGGGCGCAAGCCUGAUCCAGCCAUGCCGCGUGAGUGAAGAAGGCCUUAGGGUUGUAAAGCUCUUUCACCCGCGAAGAUGAUGACGGUAGCGGGAGAAGAAGCCCCGGCUAACUCCGUGCCAGCAGCCGCGGUAAUACGGAGGGGGCUAGCGUUGUUCGGAAUUACUGGGCGUAAAGAGCGCGUAGGCGGCUUGUCCUGUCAGGGGUGAAAGGCCCAGGCUCAACCUGGGAACUGCCCUUGAAACAGACAGGCUAGAGUCCGAGAGAGGAUGGCGGAAUUCCCAGUGUAGAGGUGAAAUUCGUAGAUAUUGGGAAGAACACCAGUGGCGAAGGCGGCCAUCUGGAUCGGCACUGACGCUGAGGCGCGAAAGCGUGGGGAGCAAACAGGAUUAGAUACCCCCGUAGUCC
rnacentral:rRNA from 1 species